GUACCGUACGAACGUUAUUCGGAAUCACUGGGCUUAAAGGGUGCGUAGGCGGCGUGGUCAGUUGGGUGUGAAAUCCCUCGGCUCAACCGAGGAACUGCGCCCAAUACUGCCACACUCGAGGGAGACAGAGGUAAGCGGAACUGAUGGUGGAGCGGUGAAAUGCGUUGAUAUCAUCAGGAACACCAGUGGCGAAAGCGGCUUACUGGGUCUCUUCUGACGCUGAGGCACGAAAGCUAGGGGUAGCGAACGGGAUUAGAUACCCCGGUAGUCCUAGCUGUAAACGAUGAGCACUUGGUCGGAGACUCCUCCAUAGGUUUCCGGUCGUAGCGAAAGUGUUAAGUGCUCCGCCUGGGGAUAUGGUCGCAAGGCUG
rnacentral:rRNA from 1 species